AACGAACGCUGGCGGCAUGCCUAACACAUGCAAGUCGAACGAGACCUUCGGGUCUAGUGGCGCACGGGUUCGUAACGCGUGGGAACCUGCCCUUAGGUUCGGAAUAACUCCCCGAAAGGGGUGCUAAUACCGGAUAAUGUCUUCGGACCAAAGAUUUAUCGCCUUUGGAUGGGCCCGCGUUGGAUUAGCUAGUUGGUAGGGUAAAAGCCUACCAAGGCGACGAUCCAUAGCUGGUCUGAGAGGAUGAUCAGCCACACUGGGACUGAGACACGGCCCAGAAUCCUACGGGAGGCAGCAGUGGGGAAUAUUGGACAAUGGGCGAAAGCCUGAUCCAGCAAUGCCGCGUGAGUGAUGAAGGCCUUAGGGUUGUAAAGCUCUUUUACCCGGGAUGAUAAUGACAGUACCGGGAGAAUAAGCUCCGGCUAACUCCGUG
rnacentral:rRNA from 1 species